rnacentral:rRNA from 1 species
UACAGAGGGUGCAAGCGUUAAUCGGAGUUACUGGGCGUAAAGCGCGCGUAGGCGGUUACUCAAGUCGGAUGUGAAAGCCCUCGGCUUAACUGAGGAAGUGCACCCGAAACUGAGUAGCUAGAGUACUAAAGAGGGUCGCGGAAUUCCCGGUGUAGAGGUGAAAUUCGUAGAUAUCGGGAGGAACACCGGUGGCGAAGGCGGCGACCUGGGUAGAUACUGACGCUCAGGCGCGACAGCGUGGGGAGCAAACAGG